rnacentral:rRNA from 1 species
UGGGGAAUUUUCCACAAUGGGCGAAAGCCUGAUGGAGCAACGCCGCGUGUGUGAUGAAGGUCUUCGGAUCGUAAAGCACUUUCGACCGGGACGAAAAACCUCUGGCUAACAUCCAGGGGCCUGACGGUACCGGGAGAAGAAGCACCGGCUAACUCUGUGCCAGCAGCCGCGGUAAUACAGAGGGUGCAAGCGUUGUUCGGAAUUAUUGGGCGUAAAGCGCGUGUAGGCGGCUUAGCAAGUCAGAUGUGAAAGCCCAUGGCUUAACCAUGGAAGUGCGUCUGAAACUGCUGAGCUUGAGUACCGGAGAGGAUGGCGGAAUUCCGCAAGUAGAGGUGAAAUUCGUAGAUAUGCGGAGGAACACCGGUGGCGAAGGCGGCCAUCUGGACGGUCACUGACGCUG